rnacentral:rRNA from 1 species
AUUGAACGCUGGCGGCAGGCCUAACACAUGCAAGUCGAGCGAGCGUCGGACGGGGGAGUAAUAUAUGGGGACUGCCAGCUAGCUGGGGAUAACUACAGUAAACGGUAGCUCAUACCGCAUACUCUCUGCUAACCCCUAUGGGAUUAGCUAGUAGUUGGGGUAAUGGCGCACCUAGGCGACGAUCCCUAGCUGGUCUGAGAGGAUGAUCAGCCACACUGGGACUGAGACACGGCCCAGACUCCUACGGAGGCAGCAGUGGGGAAUAUUGCACAAUGGGCGCAAGCCUGAUGCAGCCAUGCCGCGUGUAUGAAGAAGGCCCUAGGGUUGUAAAGUACUUUCAGUCGAGAGGCGUUACCGACAGAAGAAGCACCGGCUAACUACGUGCCAGCAGCCGCGGUAAUAC